GACGAACCGUGCAAACGUUGUUCGGAAUCACUGGGCUUAAAGGGCGCGUAGGCGGGUCUCCCAGUCUGUGGUGAAAUCCUCCAGCUUAACUGGAGAAGUGCCGUGGAUACUGGAGACCUCGAGGAGGAUAGGGGCAUCUGGAACGGUCGGUGGAGCGGUGAAAUGCGUUGAUAUCGACCGGAACUCCGGUGGCGAAGGCGGGUCUCUGGGCCGAUACUGGCGCUGAGGAGCGAAAGCGUGGGGAGCAAACAGG
rnacentral:rRNA from 1 species